GCAAGUCGAACGGAAUCUUAGGAUUUAGUGGCGGACGGGUGAGUAACGCGUGAGAAUCUGGCUUCAGGUCGGGGACAACAGUUGGAAACGACUGCUAAUACCGGAUGUGCCGAGAGGUGAAAGAUUUAUUGCCUGAAGAUGAGCUCGCGUCUGAUUAGCUAGUUGGUAAGGUAAGAGCUUACCAAGGCGACGAUCAGUAGCUGGUUUGAGAGGAUGAUCAGCCACACUGGGACUGAGACACGGCCCAGACUCCUACGGGAGGCAGCAGUGGGGAAUUUUCCGCAAUGGGCGAAAGCCUGACGGAGCAAUACCGCGUGAGGGAGGAAGGCUCUUGGGUCGUAAACCUCUUUUCUCAAGGAAGAAUAAUGACGGUACUUGAGGAAUAAGCAUCGGCUAACUCCGUGCCAGCAGCCGCGGUAAUACGGAGGAUGCAAGCGUUAUCCGGAAUGAUUGGGCGUAAAGGGUCCGCAGGUGGAACUGAAAGUCUGCUGUUAAAGAAUUUGGCUCAACCAGAUAAAAGCAGUGGAAACUACAGAACUAGAGUAUGGUAGGGGUAGAAGGAAUUCCUAGUGUAGCGGUGAAAUGCGUAGAGAUUAGGAAGAACACCGGUGGCGAAAGCGUUCUACUAGACCAAGACUGACACUGAGGGACGAAAGCUAGGGGAGCGAAUGGGAUUAGAUACCCCAGUAGUCCUAGCCGUAAACGAUGGAUACUAGGCGUGGCUUGUAUCGACCCGAGCCGUGCCGGAGCCAACGCGUUAAGUAUCCCGCCUGGGGAGUACGCACGCAAGUGUGAAACUCAAAGGAAUUGACGGGGGCCCGCACAAGCGGUGGAGUAUGUGGUUUAAUUCGAUGCAACGCGAAGAACCUUACCAAGG
rnacentral:rRNA from 1 species